GGUCCUAUAGCUCAUUCGGUUAGAGCAACUGACUCAUAAUCAGUAGGUGCUUGGUUCGAUUCCAAGUGGGACCACCU
rnacentral:tRNA from 1 species